rnacentral:rRNA from 1 species
CAGUAGCCGCGGUAAUACGGAGGGGGCAAGCGUUAUCCGGAAUUAUUGGGCGUAAAGGGUACGUAGGUGGCCUUUUAAGCGUAGGGUAUAAGGCAAUGGCUCAACCAUUGUUCGCCCUAUGAACUGGAAGGCUUGAGUGCAGGAGAGGAAAGCGGAAUUCCUAGUGUAGCGGUGGAAUGCAUAGAUAUUAGGAGGAACAUCAGCGGCGAAGGCGGCUUUCUGGACUGCAACUGACACUGAGGUACGAAAGCGUGGGGAGCAAACAGGAUUAGAUACCCCGUAGUCCCUGUCUCUUAUACAC